rnacentral:rRNA from 1 species
AUGGGCUCCUCCGCUGAGAGCAGAAGCAGGAUGGGUAGCAUAAAGCCCAUGGGGAUUCAGCUCAUCGAGUGUGUCCGUGGCGGCCCUCUCUCCUUCAGAUCAUCUCAGGCUCUUGUGUUGGUGCUCACCUUCCUGUCAUAUGCCAGUUACCAUGCCACUAGGAAAACCACAAGCAUUGUCAAGAGUGUUCUUGAUCCCAAGACAACAAACCUGGGCUUGUUGCACUGGCCCAGCCAUAUGUAUCUUCAAGAACUGAAAGGCGCGGCGAACAACACGGCUCUCCAGAGUGGCUGGGCUCCGUUCAACGGCGAGGAUGGCACCAAGCUGCUCGGCGAGAUCGACUUGGCUUUCCUUGGGGUGUAUGCCAUUGGCAUGUUCUUUGCCGGCCAUUUGGGUGACCGGGUGGAUCUCAGGAUCCUCCUGACCAUCGGAAUGGUAGGGACCGGGCUGUUCACCGCCGCUUUCGGAGCCGGCUACUGGCUCAACAUCCACAGCUUCUACUACUUUCUCGGCGUCCAGAUGAUCGCCGGUCUGUUCCAGUCGUCCGGCUGGCCCUCCGUGGUCGCGGUCGUCGGCAAUUGGUUCGGGAAGAGCAAGAGGGGGCUGAUCAUGGGGAUCUGGAACGCUCACACCUCAGUGGGAAACAUUUCUGGCUCGCUGAUCGCGGCUGCCAUGCUGAAGUUCGGGUGGAGCUGGUCGUUUGCAGUGCCCGGUGCCAUGAUUGCGCUGGUCGGGCUGGCCGUGUUUCUCUUCUUGCCUGUUGAUCCUGAGGUGGUCGGGGUCGAGGAGGAUCGCCAUGUGAAGGACUACGAGAAGAAUGGCACGGAUGUGCCUCUGCUGGAGGGACAUUCGAGUGGACGAGACGAGGCAGUGGGGUUCAUCCAGGCAUGGAGAAUCCCUGGCGUUGCCCCAUUUGCUCUCUGCCUCUUCUUCUGCAAGCUUGUCGCCUACACGUUCCUCUAUUGGCUCCCUUUCUACCUCAGCCACACAGAGAUCGGGGGAGAAUAUCUGUCAGACUCCGCGGCGGGGAUCCUGUCGACCCUGUUCGACGUGGGCGGCGUCGUCGGCGGCAUCCUGGCCGGCCACAUCUCCGACCGGCUCGACGCGCGGGCGCUGACGGCGGCGACCUUCACCUUCUCGGCCAUACCGGCGCUCUUCUUCUACCGCAUCUACGGGAGCAUCUCGCUGACGUGGAACGUGGCGCUCAUGUUCGUGACGGGGGUGCUGGUGAACGGGCCCUACGCGCUCAUCACCACCGCCGUGUCCGCCGACCUCGGCACGCACAGCUCGCUCAACGGCAACUCCCGCGCGCUGGCCACCGUGACGGCGAUCAUCGACGGCACGGGGUCCAUCGGCGCGGCCGUCGGGCCGCUCCUGACGGGGUACAUCUCCGCCAAGAGCUGGAGCGGCGUGUUCACGAUGCUCAUGGCGUCGGCGCUCGUCGCCGGCCUGCUGCUGUCGAGGCUGGUCGUGGCCGAGAUCACCACGAAGAUGGCGGCGCCGCAGAGGCCCGUCGAUUCGGCUGGCGAUCUGCCCGUGUCGUCGCUGGAGGAGCCUUAG